UCCCUGCUGCCGGAGGAGAAUUCCCUGCACCAACAGCCUCUUGUUGCAGGGGCUUAGAGCAGUUCCCAAAGCAAAACCCCAAGGGAACCUAACGCUGCUGCUAACCCAUUGGAAGGGCGAGGAGGGGACAGCCACCGUGCAGCUCGAAGGAAGGUGGUCGCUGCUGCCAUCAGAUGCCCCGUCUGCCAUCACCUCUACGGCCAGUGGAAAAGGACUUCCUGAUGCUUGUGACUCUUGUUGCAUUCUCCAAAAUCUAUCGAGAGCAGGAUUAGACUAAGUAACUUCCAAAGCCAAAGAGAAGGUCAACGUGGUAAGGGUGCUGGCACGGCACACCUUUGUACUCAAACUCGUAGGGGGGAGCUGCUGAAGGAUGUGCUUGGCUGUGAAGGUCUGCUGGAAUGUCUUCAGUCAUAGGCCACCCCCCCAGAGUGUGGGACAUCUCUGUAACAAGGCAGCUGAAGAUGUGAGGAUGUUCUGGAGCAAAGGCUUGCACAACCCCUGUGUUUUGACGUUAUUCUUCUCGGCGAUAGACGGGGAAUAUAGCAGCUCCAGCUUACCGCAGCAGUGCAGUGUGAUUCCUCGCAGUCUACGUGUAAAAAACACCUUCUUACACCAAUGAGCACGAAGAGACAAGUAAGGUAGGCUGGCAACUACUGGGACUCUGGGAAACGGGCGUUCAGCUCUGCUUCCUCUGCUGCAAGGAAAAUAGACAGGACUGGAUCCUAAAGCUGUAAUCAGGGCACAGUUUCAUCUCCAGAAGUUCACUAACAACAAGGAUCAACGAGAAG